rnacentral:rRNA from 1 species
CGCAGGCUGCAACCCGCCUGCAUGAAGUUGGAAUCGCUAGUAAUCGCGGAUCAGCAUGCCGCGGUGAAUACGUUCCCGGGCCUUGUACACACCGCCCGUCACACCAUNAGGGGAGUCGGGAACACCCGAAGUCCGUAGCCUAACCGCAAGGGGGCGCGGCCGAAGGUGGGUUCGAUAAUUGGGGUGAAGUCGUAACAAGGUACC